AGCACUUGGGUGUGUUUUUGUUUAACUUCUGGACAAAGACUCAGGUGCAAAAAAUAAAUCCUCUUUAGCAACCCAGAACACACAAGAAGGUAUAAG
ensembl:snoRNA